rfam:Biomphalaria glabrata isolate BB02 unplaced genomic scaffold LGTN_random_Scaffold2110, whole genome shotgun sequence.
AUGGCUGAGUGGUGAAGCGCUUGGCUUCCGAACCGAGGGUUCCGGGUUCGAACCCUGGU